ensembl:rRNA 5S_rRNA 5S ribosomal RNA
AUCUACUGCCAUACCACCCUGAAUGCGCCCAAUCUCAUUUGAUAUCAGAAGCUAAGCAGGGUCAGGCCUGGCUAGUACUUGAAUGGGAGAAAAUU